CCUACGGGAGGCAGCAGUGGGGAAUAUUGGACAAUGGGGGGAACCCUGAUCCAGCCAUGCCGCGUGUGUGAAGAAGGCCCUCGGGUUGUAAAGCACUUUCAGUGAGGAAGAACGCCUGGUGGUUAAUACCCAUCAGGAAAGACAUCACUCACAGAAGAAGCACCGGCUAACUCCGUGCCAGCAGCCGCGGUAAUACGGAGGGUGCGAGCGUUAAUCGGAAUUACUGGGCGUAAAGCGCGCGUAGGUGGCUUGAUAAGCCGGUUGUGAAAGCCCCGGGCUCAACCUGGGAACGGCAUCCGGAACUGUCAAGCUAGAGUGCAGGAGAGGAAGGUAGAAUUCCCGGUGUAGCGGUGAAAUGCGUAGAGAUCGGGAGGAAUACCAGUGGCGAAGACGGCCUUCUGGACUGACACUGACACUGAGGUGCGAAAGCGUGGGUAGCAAACAGGAUUAGAUACCCGAGUAGUC
rnacentral:rRNA from 1 species